AGUGGCGGACGGGUGAGUAACGCGUGAGCAACCUACCUUUCAGAGGGGGAUAACGUUUGGAAACGAACGCUAAUACCGCAUGAUAUUAUUAAGCUGCAUGGCCUGGUAAUCAAAGGAGCAAUCCGCUGAAAGAUGGGCUCGCGUCCGAUUAGGUAGUUGGUGAGAUAACGGCCCAUCAAGCCGACGAUCGGUAGCCGGACUGAGAGGUUGAACGGCCACAUUGGGACUGAGACACGGCCCAGACUCCUACGGGAGGCAGCAGUGAGGGAUAUUGGUCAAUGGGGGAAACCCUGAACCAGCAACGCCGCGUGAGGGAAGACGGUUUUCGGAUUGUAAACCUCUGUCCUCUGUGAAGAUAAUGACGGUAGCAGAGGAGGAAGCUCCGGCUAACUACGUGCCAGCAGCCGCGGUAAUACGUAGGGAGCAAGCGUUGUCCGGAUUUACUGGGUGUAAAGGGUGCGUAGGCGGCUUUAUAAGUCAGAAGUGAAAUCCAUGGGCUUAACCCAUGAACUGCUUUUGAAACUGUAGAGCUUGAGUGGAGUAGAGGUAGGCGGAAUUCCCGGUGUAGCGGUGAAAUGCGUAGAGAUCGGGAGGAACACCAGUGGCGAAGGCGGCCUACUGGGCUUUAACUGACGCUGAGGCACGAAAGCGUGGGUAGCAAACAGGAUUAGAUACCCUGGUAGUCCACGCUGAAACGAUGAUUACUA
rnacentral:rRNA from 1 species